UACGAAGGGGGCUAGCGUUGCUCGGAAUCACUGGGCGUAAAGCGCACGUAGGCGGAUUGCUAAGUCAGGGGUGAAAUCCCGGGGCUCAACCUCGGAACUGCCUUUGAUACUGGAGAUCUUGAGUCCGGAAGAGGUAAGUGGAACUGCGAGUGUAGAGGUGAAAUUCGUAGAUAUUCGCAAGAACACCAGUGGCGAAGGCGGCUUACUGGUCCGGAACUGACGCUGAGGUGCGAAAGCGUGGGGAGCAAACAGG
rnacentral:rRNA from 1 species